ensembl:lncRNA
UUGGCCUGUGGAGGUGACCUUUCAAGGAGCUCAAAGUCAGGACUUUAACUCAAUCAGACCACACUUGGAGUCUUGUGCGCUUUCUGGGCACCACCUUUUAAAAGGAACAUUGACCUGUUCCGCCUCCAGAGAACAGAACCAAGACAACUGGGUGGAAGUUGCUCAGAGAUAAAUCCCGACUCAACAGAAGCAAACCGUGUCUCCUGCCAUCAGAGCCUCUGACAAUGGAAGUGGCUGCUUUGGAAACGGUUUGCUCCCAGGCAUUGAAACGCUGAAGCAGGGGGUGUUUUAACAGCUGUCAAAGAGAUUUUUAUUUUUUUACUAAGAUCCCUUUACUUUAAAUUCCAACACUGUAUGAUUGCUUGAUCACAGAACUCUUCAAUACGUUUUGCCAAGUUGAUAGCUCCUUCUUAGUUCUUUUGUUUGGAGCAUUAACCUCUUCUCGUCCCACACCAAAAAAAAAUUGGCAAAAACAUAUAGAAUGACAAUAACAGUCACAACAUUGAAGUCUUGUUGUUGUCUGACUGUGCCACGUUCCCUCCACUGGGGAAGAAGGACACGCUGUGGCCUGUUGAUUAUCAAAGUAGAGGUCUGGAGGCCACUCAAGGGUGAUGGUGACAGCACAGCACUGACACCUCCAAAUGGUCCUUGGGCAGGUCCAAGCACAAGAACAAGGGCAGCUGAGGCCAAGUGAGGCCAUACGUCCUCUUCUAGUGUCCCCAACUUGCUUAAUGGUGCCUCUUUCCAUAUAGAGACAUGAUGCCUUCCUCUCCAUACCCCAUCCCACACCACCAUCCUGCCCAAUUUCCAUCCAUCUUCACUGUCUCUGUGCAAAUCCAAGCCCCACCGCCAUCUGUCAUCUGAACCUGCACCCCCGCCAUGUGGGCUUGCUCCAAUUUAUUUUACACAAAUCGGAACCUUCCUGUCAUCCCGCUGCUUAUGUUUCUCAGUGGCUUCCCACUGCUAUUGGGAUGAAGAAUCUGGGCCUCAGCCCCACCUGUGUGGCACCGUGAGCUUCCCCAUUUCUGUCUCACUUUGUGCCCGGACCCCAGCCCUUGCUCUCUGUUCCAGUCACACUGACCUUCCUUCCACCCACCUGUCCUGCCACUACAGGGCUUUUGCCCCUGCUCUUCUCUUGGCCUCGGGGGAUGCUCUUCUCACCCCUCUUGGCCUAGUAAAAGCUUCCCUGUCCUUCACAUCCGUACCAAGAGGCUUCCCCUGAUCUUUCUGCCCAGAUUGUGUCCCUGGGGCCCACGGUCACAGCACCCACACCUUUCCUUCCCAUUUGCAGCUUCUCCCUUUGCAGUUGUCUCUCUGUUUCCGUGAUGAUUUAGUCUCUUCAAGGGCAGGAGCCAUGUCUGGUGUGCUCGGCGUGGCAUCCCCUGAAUGAAUGAAUGAGGAGAAGAAGCUGUGUGAGGGGCUCUGUACUCCCAGUGGCUUCCAGUGGUCUAAGAGCCAUCUAGACACAGGGGGUGGUCAUCCAUAGGGUGCUCUCCUAAAUCCCUGCCCCCACCACCCCAAACCUCUGUAACCACCAUGUCAGAAAGUCUAUUGCUUGGUUAAGCAUCAUCCUCACAUUUUAGUCUUUGUAAUGCAAUUAAGGGAGGUGACAGUGUCCCUAACACUUGCAUUUAACCAACAGUUCAGUCUAUUCCUAAAACUCUCUCUCUAGCAAGAAAAGUUUGAGUUAAAAGAGAAUAUUGGGCAGCCAGAGGGUGGAGAUGAUGGAGAGAUCUAGAAAGGAAAGGGAAUGGUGUAGGUACUGGAUGUCACACACUCUUGGUGCCCCACGGCCUUUGCACAUGAGGUUCCUGCUGUCUGAAAAGUGCUCCUUUGCCACUUGUCAAAAUCCUAAUCAUCCAUCAGAAUCAAGCUCAAGAGACCUGUAGAAGCCUUCACUGGCUGCCCUAGCAGAGUGGCUUCCUCCUCCUCCGAGCUGUCAGGGUACCUUGUCCAUACAUCCACCAUUACUGCGUUCAUCACACCAAAAGUUGCAAAGAUUUGUUUACAUGAUGUCUGUCUUACGUAGCCGGGAGCUCUUUGAGAGCAGCGCCCUAUCUUCACCCCUUUGCAUCCCCAGUGCCCGUCAGAGUACAUGGCUGUGUUAGGACUUUUGGUUGCAAGUUAUAGAAAUCAACUUGAUCUCCUCACUUAAGAAAAAAGGACGAGCCGCUCUUGUUUGCUCUGCGUGCGCCGCCUCACUGUACUUCCUCUCUUCUCUCAAAAGUGGGACAGCCUUGUGGGUGGGCUCCUCACAGACACUUAGCCAAUAGAUGUGCACUAACCACUGCCUGUAAGCACUUGAGGAGGAAGGAGAGAGGGAGGCCGAGAGGAAUGGGUGGGGAGGGGCGAUGCUGAAGACCAGCUGAACUUCUUCACCACUUAGUUCGAGGCCAUCAUGAUGCUUCCAAACGCACCAUGGCUUAGGGGUGCCUGGCCGGGGUCUCUCCUUCCCAUUUUCCCUUCCUCUCUCUACCGUCUUUCCUCAGCUCUGUCAGUUCAUCGAACUCAGGAAACUGAGCACACCGUGCUCACCAGCCCAGUGCGAAUGCGGGGCUGGGGCAGCUUCAUGAGCCCUGAUGUCUUUGGGUCCCAGGGAAGAGUGUGCAGCGUUUGAGGACCCCACCAGGGACAUCUCCUCCCUGCCGGAAUCUACCGUAGUCUUUUCUCAAGUCAUCUUUACUUUUUAAUUGCUCAAUUUCUUUUCUUUGUUUUCCUAGUUAAAGGGUAACAAAGAAUGAAUUGGGUAUGUCAGUCAUCUGUGGUCAUCAUUAAUUUCAUGGUCCUCUGCAUUUAUUAAGGCUUAUUUCCUCUCCAUAAUCUCCUUUCCCCUGAUAUUCGUAAAAGCACAUCUUAUUCUCCUUAACUGCCUUGGCUGGUGUGAUCUAAUUCCGAUUUUUAGCUGCUCUUAUCUUUUCCCAGGAAGCUUCGCCUGUUGCAGCAUAUUCCCGUUUCAUUCUCCCCUUUUCCCGCAGACAGGAGCGUCUUUCUUUCUCCGUGGCUCUCUUAGCCGUUUUGGAGGAAGUUGCACUGACUGUAUUUUGCUUCUCCUUUAGAAGAAGCGCUGGGCUGGACUUUAAUUAUGGGAGGUACCCCCUUCUCCACUUGCUUCUCCCCUGAAAAACGCCCAGCUUUCUCCAGUCUUCCAUCUGCAGCCAACAAAGAGCGCUUUGCCCCUAACUGCAGGUGAUUCUUCCCAUGGCUGUUUCACUGCUUGAACAGAAGGCUGUGCCUGGGGCAAGAUGGAGGAGGGAAACUGUGCAGUCAGAUGGGCUACCUAUUAGCAGCUCUGGUACACAAACCAGUGGUGAAGCUAACAACUAAAAAGACACUCCACACCUAGCAGGGUCAGUGCUGUGGAUAAUUAAGUGCUCGUUAUCAAUGACAGGGAAACUCCACUCCUGGUCUGUUGGGAGACAGAUCUAAAUGUCUACCCGACUGUUAUCCGUCUCUCCAUUUCUGACCUGCAGGCACCAUGAUUAUAGCUUCCCCUGUGUAUUUUGCUUAUUCUUCUCAGUUAACAUCCAUUUCGUUCUGCUUUGACUUGUGGUUAGUCAUUUACGUGUCUCUCUCUCACAUGACCAAAAUUGAACUCAUGAUCUCACCCUUUUGCAACGUAAACAUUCUUUGGAUCCCCCGGUCCCCAAUUCUAUUAAUAUCAUUCCCUAAAUUAUUUUGGAAAUAUCUCCAGUGUCCCUUCUUCCUCAGCCUCCACAUGUAAUUAGUUCACCAAUUUGCAUCUUUGAUGUGUACCCUUUCCAUUUGCUCUGGAUGCCCUUGUUAAACUGCCCCGAUUGCAGUGGACAUUAUGGUGGCCAACCCCCAUCCAGCCCCCUUCUCUCCAUAACCACAUUAUCUGCAUCUCCCCGUGUGCCGAAGGGAAGCUAACUCUGCCCAUCAUUCUAGGAAUGGAGCAUGUGGCUUAGGCCCAACCCAGUCAAUGUAAUUCCAUCCCCUGGCUAUUCUCAUUGGUUCAGGGUGAUCACAUGACCCUGUUCAAGCCAAUGAGAUCAGGGAGGACAUUUAUUGAAGACUUUGGGAACAAAGAGGUUCCUUGUUCUUCUGAGAGAGCGUCCUCAAGUGGGCCAUGAGGUGCUGGUGGCCAUCUUUACCCCCAUGUGGAAGAGCCUGCCUGAAAACGAAGCCAAUACAGACAAAAGCAGGACUCAGAGAUGGAGAAAAAGAGUCCUGAUUUUAUUGUUUGAGCUCAUGGAUCCAGCUGUACAUGGACCACUCCUAAAACUUUGUCAUACACCUAUACCUUACAUCCAGUCCAUAAGCAACUCCCACCAGCACUGCCUUUGAGAUAUAUCCAUCAUCCAACCCUUUCUUGUAUGUCUGCUGCUACCUUCCUAGUCUUCUGGCUCAGACCACUGCAAUAGCCUUCCCGCUGGUCUCCCUGCCUCCACUGUUAUCCUUCUGUGCCGUUCUCCACCAAAGAUUAGCCUGAGAGAUCCUUUUAAAAAUGUAAGUCAGAUAAUACCACUUCUCUGCUCAGAGCCCUCAAAAGGUCUCCAUUCAUGCCAAGAUCCUUCCUUUGACUCACAGGCCCUGCAGUACCUGCCUGCUCCCCUCUGACCUCAUCUCUUACCACACUCACCCUAGCUCAGCCCACUCCAUCCUAACUAGCUUUCUAACUCCCACCUCAGGGCCUUUGCACUGCUGUUCUCUCUCCGUGGAAUGCUUUUCUACAAGAUAGUUGCACAGUUUGCUCCCUCUUUCCUUCAGGGUUCUGCUCAAGUGUUGCCUAUUUGCUUAGGCCAUCCCUGACGAUUCCUCCCCAAAAUGGCACUUCCUUGUCACUCUGUCUCUCCUUGCCUUGCUUUUUUUCCUUUGUAGCACUUAUCACCACCUGAAAAAUUAUAUAUUUACGCGGCUAUUAUUAUCUGUAUCUUCCCAUUAGACUAUAUAUCCUGUGGGAAACUGAGGCUGAUUUGUUUGCUGUUAUAUAUUCAGUUCUUAGAACAGCAACUGGCACAUAGCACGUACUUAAUAAAGUGUUGUCAAUUUACAGACUGAAUGAAUAAAUGAAUAAACGAAUGAGCUAAUCACUUCUCUAUUUUGAGGAAAGUAUUUUUUUUUUUUUAGGGAAAGCACUCAAUAUUUCACCACUAAGUAUAAGAUUACCUGUUUUUGUGUGGACGUAUGUUUUCAAUUCUCUAAGGUAAAUACCUAAGAGUGGAAUCGCC